rnacentral:lncRNA from 1 species
UAUUUUGAGCCAGGGUCUGGCUGAGUGGCUUAGGGCCUUGCUAAAUUGCUGAGGCUGGCUUUGAGCUUGCGAUCCUCCCGCCUCAGCCUCCCAAACUGCUGGGAUUAUAGGUGUGCACCAUCGGGCCUGGCUGGAAAUCUUGUUUUUGAAAAGAAGAGAUGACUGGUGUCUGAGCUGGGGAGAGGCGUUGAGCUCACCCCAUGUUCCGCUGCUCUUCUGGGAGCAGAGCUGUGCAUUUGCCGUGGGCAGACAGGAGCGCCCAUCGGAUGCCACCUCCUUGCAGUGCUUCCUGGGUCUCACCCUCUGGGCUUCUCACCCUACAGACGUUCACCGGAGCGCUCAGACCAGAUGCAACAGGACUGGAGAGAUGGAAAGUCCUUUCCUUACAGCUGUUUGUCGUGAACAGAGACAGUCACUGCCUGACCCUGCUGCCCCCAAACCAAAUGACACCCACCAAAGGGUUAAUUUCCGAACCCAACUGCUUCUCCCGGUCUAUGAGCUGGGGGUGGGAGUGGAGGCUCAGCGGGAGGCCCUGGCCCCACCUGCCUGAAGGGGUGGGCUGUCCACACCUGCUCCUAACCCAUACACAGCCCUCUCCGCUGCUCCUUGUUAUUUCCUUCCUCACCUCUGGACUCUUCUUCGGCACCUUGAAACCUCGUCUCGGGAGAACUCGGCUUUGACAGAAACCUCUCUGAAAUUAUUUUUCAUCCUGUUCUGACUUGUACUUGAAUAAUUCUCCAUCAACAGCACGUCUGAUUGAGUUGGCAUCACAAACCCUUUUGUAUGCUAUUUUUUUUCCCCUUCCUUCAAGAAAUAUUAAAGUCUG